rnacentral:rRNA from 1 species
AAUGAACGCUGGCGGCGCGCCUAAUACAUGCAAGUCGAGCGAGAAGACGUAGCAAUACGUUUGUAAAGCGGCGAACGGGUGAGGAAUACAUGGGUAACCUACCCUAGAGUGGGGAAUAACUAGCCGAAAGGUUAGCUAAUACCGCGUACGCUCCUUGGACUUCGGUUCAGGGAGGAAAGCGAUGCCGAGGGUAUCGCGCUCUUGGAUGGGCUCAUGUCCUAUCAGCUUGUUGGNGAGGUAACGGCUCACCAAGGCUUCGACGGGUAGCUGGUCUGAGAGGACGAUCAGCCACACUGGCACUGCGAC